ensembl:lncRNA
AUUUUCUUAAAAGUUGCCUCUCGGGAUGUCACGCGUCCAAAGAUCUUCUACACGUGUCUCUGACGCUGUCAGACGUGACGGGAAGCGGGUCGGUGCCGGUGUUAUAUCCAGGGAUGUAUUCCCGCUUCGUGUUCCUGGCAUAGACUCCGGAUCCACCGCCACCCUGAGCAGGAUAUGGAGUACUGCAACGUUUCAGACUCGCCUCCUGUGUCCAAAUAUACACAUCGGGAAGCUUCUGCAUCAACUACAAAACGAAAAUUCAGAAUUUAUUAUAAACGAUAAGUGAAAAGACGUCAGGAACUAAAAUCAGUCCCGGUUCCUGAAUCCAUGAGGAAAAAAAAACAAAAAACAGUUCCUGCAGUGGGUUUAAAACAUCACAGAACGCUCAGAAUGUGAAAGUACCUUCCCUGAUAGAGCGUGCGCCGAAUGUGCACGGUAAUGAAUAUAGGAGGAGGAGGAGGAGGAGAAGAAGAAGAAGAAGAAGAAGAAGAAGAAGAAGAGAGCUGCUCCUCAUGAUGAGGACGAAGAAGAACAAGAAGAAGAACAAUAAGAGGAAUGAAGGAAGUAGAAGACGAAGAAGGAGGAGGAGAAAAAGAAAGAGACAAGAAAGAAAAGGAGGAGGAGAUGAAGAAGAAGAAGGUAAAGGAGGAGAACAAUAAAGAAAAACAAAGAAAAGAAGAAGGAGUCGAUGUUGCUGCUGCUGGUCAUGAUGAAAAAGAAGAACAACAAGAAGAGGAAGGAAGAAGGAGGAGGAGGAGGAGGAGGAGGAGGAGAAAAAGAAAGAGAAAAGGGAAAGGAGGAGGAGGAGGAGGAGGAGAUGAUGGAGGAGGCGACAAAGAAAGAGAGAAGACAGAAUUGAGAAGGUGCUGCUGCUGAUAAUGAUGAAGAGGAAGAAGGAGGAGGAGGAGGAGGAGAAAAGAAAGAGAAAAGGAGGAAAGAAGAACCGAAGAAGAAGAUGAUGAAGAAAAGGAAGGAAGCAGAAGAAAAAGGAGGAGGAGGAAAAAAAAGAGAAAUGAAUGAAAAGAAGAAGAAGAAGAAGAAGAAGAAGAAGAAGAAGAAGAAGAAGAAGACUGCUGUGCUGAUUUGUCGAUUGGUCAAAACACAAUAAAAAGCAGUUUACCAGACCUGAGUGAGCUGUAAAAUACAUGUGUGUGUGUGUGUGUGUGUGUGUGUGUGUGUGUGUGUGUGUGUGUGUGCGCGUGUGUGAGAUGAAUGACGAAGGCCAGGCAGGCUCCUGAAUAAAGGAAGCUGACAGGAGUCUAGCAGCGCCUCGGGGACUCAGAUGCUACUCAGGCUGCGGGUCGUCCGCUGAUCGUAGGGUCGGAGGUUUGAUUCCCGGUCCACGUGACUCCACGUGACUCCACGUGACUCCACGUGACUCCACGUGACUCCACGUGACUCCACGUGACUCCACGUGACUCCACGUGACUCCACGUGACUCCACGUGACUCCACGUGCCCAAGUGUCCUUGGGCGAGACACUGAACCCUGAGUUGCUCCUGAUGGCAAGUUAGUGCCUUGCAUGGCAGCUCUGCUACCAUUGGUGUGUGUGUGUGUGUGUGUGUGUGUGUGUGUGUGUGUGUGUGUGAAUGGCUGAAUGAGACACAGUGUAAAGCGCUUUGGAUAAAAGUGCUACAUAAGUGCAGACCAUUUACAGACUGCAGUGUGUGUUUCUGCCUCCGCGUCCAUUUCUUUCUCUUUUCCUCAGACUCCAGCGCUCAGCUCCUGGCAAGCGAUGCGAAGCCACUGCCGAGCAACAUCACAUGACAACUGUGCGCAAGGAUCGAGCAACUCGAAGGAGAGAGAGAGAGAGAGAGAGAGAGAGAGAGAGAGAGAGAGAGAGAGAGAGAGAGAACUUCAUUUGGACAGUUGUGAUGCGAUCACCACAGCAACUUUUUUGUGUUUUGUGGAAAGAUGGCUGUGGGGUUUGGCACUGCACAAUUCCUCUGGGGAAAAAAAACUGCUAG